UUAUAAAUAGUCUUUCUCAGUAGUAGUUUUUUUACAUUUUUACUGAAUUUCAGGUCAUUCAAACUCUUCAGAUUUUCAGGCAAUUUAUUAUAUAAUUUCAGUGCGAUGUGAUUUGCUCCCUGCUGCGCUUUCGCUAUUCUGUUGAAAGGAAUGCUAAGUAAAUGCUUUCUUCUGGUGUUGUACUCGUGGAAGUCGGCGUUGGUUCGAAACUUCUCGAGAUUUCGGUGGACAUAAGUCACGGCAGCGAGGAUGAAAACCGAAGUGCAGGAAAAGAUGAGUUGAAGAGAUCUACAAGAGUGCAAUGAAAGUUGCCAUACUGCACCCCAGCGUUUCCAUUCCAUAUUAGUUCCCAGUUUAUGGAUCUGAUUCCUUCUAUGAAAUGGUCUCGUGAUUGCAGUUGGUAUCCUCAAGAUUUGUGCCUUAUGGUCCGACAAGAAGGGCUCAUAGGUUUCCUGCACACACUCGCUCUCUGUUACAUUCGUGAACAUAUUAUCUAUACAAGUACUCGAAUG